rnacentral:rRNA from 1 species
ACGAACGCUGGCGGCAUGCCUAACACAUGCAAGUCGAACGAGACCUUCGGGUCUAGUGGCGCACGGGUGCGUAACGCGUGGGAACCUGCCCUUAGGUUCGGAAUAACUCCCCGAAAGGGGUGCUAAUACCGGAUAAUGUCUUCGGACCAAAGAUUUAUCGCCUUUGGAUGGGCCCGCGUUGGAUUAGCUAGUUGGUAGGGUAAAAGCCUACCAAGGCGACGAUCCAUAGCUGGUCUGAGAGGAUGAUCAGCCACACUGGGACUGAGACACGGCCCAGACUCCUACGGGAGGCAGCAGUGGGGAAUAUUGGACAAUGGGCGAAAGCCUGAUCCAGCAAUGCCGCGUGAGUGAUGAAGGCCUUAGGGUUGUAAAGCUCUUUUACCCGGGAUGAUAAUGACAGUACCGGGAGAAUAAGCUCCGGCGAACUCCGU